rnacentral:tRNA from 1 species
AGAGCGUUGAAGAACGUUAAACAAAAUUAGUGUAGCAAUACACAAAGCACUUACUUAAAGAAAAGCUUUAGUUUUUUAUUUGGUUGAUAUAUAUAAAAAAUACAAAACCCACUAGAAAUUAGUAAAAGGGAAAGAGAUUGAGAAAUGAAGAAGGGGAAAAGUAUAUUACUUAUUACUCAUCACCCAUUACUCAUACAAAGUCUCGUAGCUCAGCUGGUUAGAGCGCUACACUGAUAAUGUAGAGGUCGGCAGUUCGAGCCUGCCCGAGACUACUAAUUAAGGCGGCUGGCAAAUAGCUUAUAGCUUAUGGCAAAAAAGCCAAAAGCAAUUAGCAGGAAGCCAACAGCACCUAGAGGGGGAAUUAGCUCAGCUGGCUAGAGCGCCUGCCUUGCACGCAGGAGGUCAAGGGUUCGACUCCCUUAUUCUCCACCAAUUGGGUUUCAAGUUUAAUAUUCAAAGUUCCAAUAACGGAAGAUGAGAGCCAUUUUCCAUGAACCAAGAACCUUAAACUAUGAACUAGAAAUAAGAUCAUUGACAUUAACGGUAAAGACAUCACAAAGAGAAAACCGAGCACUUAUAAGUGCUUGAGUAACCUAAAAAUAGGAAAGAAAUCGUUAAGGGCGUAUG